rnacentral:rRNA from 1 species
CCUACGGGAGGCAGCAGUGGGGAAUAUUGGGCAAUGGGCGCAAGCCUGACCCAGCAACGCCGCGUGAAGGAAGAAGGCUUUCGGGUUGUAAACUUCUUUUGUCAGGGAAGAGUAGAAGACGGUACCUGACGAAUAAGCCACGGCUAACUACGUGCCAGCAGCCGCGGUAAUACGUAGGUGGCAAGCGUUGUCCGGAUUUACUGGGUGUAAAGGGCGUGUAGCCGGGUUGACAAGUCAGAUGUGAAAUCCUGCGGCUUAACCGCAGAACUGCAUUUGAAACUGUUUUUCUUGAGUACUGGAGAGGCAGACGGAAUUCCUAGUGUAGCGGUGAAAUGCGUAGAUAUUAGGAGGAACACCAGUGGCGAAGGCGGUCUGCUGGACAGCAACUGACGCUGAGGCGCGAAAGCGUGGGGAGCAAACAGGAUUAGAUACCCCUGUAGUC